UACGUAGGGGGCAAGCGUUGUCCGGAAUUAUUGGGCGUAAAGGGCGCGUAGGCGGCUUGGCAAGUGGAAGGUGAAAUCCCUCGGCUUAACCGAGGAACUGCCCUCCAAACUGCUUCGCUUGAGACCGGGAGAGGUGAGUGGAAUUCCCAGUGUAGCGGUGAAAUGCGUAGAUAUUGGGAGGAACACCAGUGGCGAAGGCGGCUCACUGGACCGGUACUGACGCUGAUGCGCGAAAGCGUGGGGAGCAAACGGG
rnacentral:rRNA from 1 species